GACGAACGCUGGCGGCGUGCUUAACACAUGCAAGUCGAACGAGGCCCCUCCUUCGGGAGGGUGUCCUAGUGGCGAACGGGUGAGUAACACGUGGGCAACCUGCCCCCGGCUCUGGGAUAACCCCAAGAAAUUGGGGCUAAUACCGGAUAUGACCGCUGACCGCAUGGUCUGGUGGUGGAAAGUUUUUCGGCUGGGGAUGGGCCAGCGGCCUAUCAGCUUGUUGGUGGGGUAGUGGCCUACCAAGGCGACGACGGGUAGCCGGCCUGAGAGGGUGACCGGCCACACUGGGACUGAGACACGGCCCAGACUCCUACGGGAGGCAGCAGUGGGGAAUAUUGCGCAAUGGGCGGAAGCCUGACGCAGCGACGCCGCGUGGGGGAUGACGGCCUUCGGGUUGUAAACCUCUUUCAGCAGGGACGAAGCGAAAGUGACGGUACCUGCAGAAGAAGCACCGGCCAACUACGUGCCAGCAGCCGCGGUAAAAC
rnacentral:rRNA from 1 species